rnacentral:tRNA from 1 species
GGAAGGGAAACAUCACUGGUGUGAUGUCCGGGCUUCAAACCCGGGAGGGGCCGCGAGACGGUCUCUGGUGGGUUCGACUCCCACUCUCUUCCGCCA